rnacentral:tRNA from 1 species
AAGUUAAUGAACUUGUACAAGUGUAUACCUUGAAAGUAUAAAAAAGAAUGGGUAAUUUCUAUUAACUU